rnacentral:rRNA from 1 species
UACGUAGGGGGCAAGCGUUGUCCGGAAUUAUUGGGCGUAAAGGGCGCGUAGGCGGUCCAUUAAGUCGGAUGUGAAAUCCAGGGGCUCAACCCCUGAACUGCACCCGAUACUGGUGGACUUGAGGUAGGUAGAGGAGAGUGGAAUUUCUGGUGUAGCGGUGGAAUGCGCAGAUAUCAGAAGGAACACCGAUGGCGAAGGCAGCUCUCUGGGCCUUACCUGACGCUGAGGCGCGAAAGCAUGGGUAGCAAACAGG